rnacentral:rRNA from 1 species
GACGAACGCUGGCGGCGUGCUUAACACAUGCCAGUCGAACGGAAAGGCCCUGAUUUUGCGGGGUGCUCGAGAGCCGAACGGGUGAGUAACACGUGAGUAACCUGCCCUUGACUUUGGGAUAACUUCAGGAAACAGGGGCUAAUACAGGAUAGGAGCUCCUGCUGCAUGGUGGGGGUUGGAAAGAUUCGGCGGUUGGGGAUGGACUCGCGGCUUAUCCGCUUGAUGGUGGGGUAGUGGCUUACAAAGGCUAUGAAGGGUAGCCGGCCUGGGAGGGUGACCGGCCACAUUGGGACUGAGGGACGGCCCAGACUCCUACGGGCGGCAGCAGUGGGGAGUAUUGCACAAUGGGCGGGAGCCUGAUGCAGCAACGCCGCGUGCGGGAUGACGGCCUUCGGGUUGUAAACCGCUUUCGCCUGUGACGAAGCGUGAGUGACGGUAAUGGGUAAAGAAGCACCGGCUAACUACGUG